UGCUGUGCCACGCUAAUUACACCUACCUCAGAAUAUGCUAUCUUUUUCUUUCCCCACUGCUUCUAUUUCAUAGUCUUUGUCUCUCUCACUCUGAAUUUUCAAAUAAGAACUGUGCAUUAGCUCCACGAUCAGAACGAUUGAAUUGGCUGCAGAAAGAAACAUGCAUGAUGUCCUCAGCAGGAACCUUGUUUGGAACAAGGUCAAAAACCACUUGACUGACCAAGAGAGGUCCAGUUAUGCAACUUGGGACAUAUACCCUAAAACAAUCACCUAUAACUUGAUUAAUUUGUUUUAAAAUCAAUGGAAAGGAUCUGCUCAAUCAUACCCAGAUAUUUAGCUUCAGACACGGCUGUUUUUCUUUUGAGGGACUCAAAAGAUACUACAUAAGUCUUGCAAUACCUUCAAAACAAUCCUGAGGCUCAAGAUUUCUUAUUGACUUACGGAAGGCAUUGGAAACUUCCUAUUGUUCCCUGUGGAUUGAAUUAGGAGACUUCAAUGGUGUCUACCGCUAGCAGGCUUGGGCAAUAGUGACUUCAUUUCACAGACAGUGACUAAGCAACUGAACCAU